rnacentral:rRNA from 1 species
GACGUAGGUGGCGAACGUUAUCCGGAAUUAUUGGGCGUAAAGGAUGCGUAGAUGGUGUAGUAAGUUAUCGGUGGCAAAUCGAGGCUCAACCUCGCGGAAGUCGGUAAUACUGCUAUGCUAGAGGAUAGGAGAGGUUAACGGAACUCCCUGUGGAGCGGUGAAAUGCGUAGAUAUAGGGAAGAACACCAAUCAGGCGAAGGCAGUUAACUAUUCUAUUCCUGACAUUGAGGCAUGAAAGCGUGGGGAGCAAAACGG